ACGCACGCUGGCGGCGUGCUUCACCCAUGCAAGUCGCACGGAAAGGCCCUGCUUUUGUGGGGUGCUCGAGUGGCGAACGGGUGAGUAACACGUGAGUAACCUGCCCUUGACUUUGGGAUAACUUCAGGAAACUGGGGCUAAUACCGGAUAGGAGCUCCUGCUGCAUGGUGGGGGUUGGAAAGUUUCGGCGGUUGGGGAUGGACUCGCGGCUUAUCAGCUUGUUGGUGGGGUAGUGGCUUACCAAGGCUUUGACGGGUAGCCGGUCUGAGAGGGUGACCGGCCACAUUGGGACUGAGAUACGGCCCAGACUCCUACGGGAGGCAGCAGUGGGGAAUAUUGCACAAUGGGCGGAAGCCUGAUGCAGCAACGCCGCGUGCGGGAUGACGGCCUUCGGGUUGUAAACCGCUUUCGCCUGUGACGAAGCGUGAGUGACGGUAAUGGGUAAAGAAGCACCGGCUAACUACGUG
rnacentral:rRNA from 1 species